UGGCGGCAGGCUUAACACAUGCAAGUCGAGCGCCCCGCAAGGGGAGCGGCAGACGGGUGAGUAACGCGUGGGAAUCUACCCAUCUCUACGGAAUAACCCAGGGAAACUUGGACUAAUACCGUAUACGUCCUUCGGGAGAAAGAUUUAUCGGAGAUGGAUGAGCCCGCGUUGGAUUAGCUAGUUGGUGGGGUAAAGGCCUACCAAGGCGACGAUCCAUAGCUGGUCUGAGAGGAUGAUCAGCCACACUGGGACUGAGACACGGCCCAGACUCCUACGGGAGGCAGCAGUGGGGAAUAUUGGACAAUGGGCGAAAGCCUGAUCCAGCCAUGCCGCGUGAGUGAUGAAGGCCCUAGGGUUGUAAAGCUCUUUCAACGGUGAAGAUAAUGACGGUAACCGUAGAAGAAGCCCCGGCUAACUUCGUGCCAGCAGCCGCGGUAAUACGAAGGGGGCUAGCGUUGCUCGGAAUCACUGGGCGUAAAGCGCACGUAGGCGGCUUUUUAAGUCAGGGGUGAAAUCCCGGAGCUCAACUCCGGAACUGCCUUUGAUACUGAGGAGCUCGAGUCCGGGAGAGGUGAGUGGAACUGCGAGUGUAGAGGUGAAAUUCGUAGAUAUUCGCAAGAACACCAGUGGCGAAUGCGGCUCACUGUCCCGGUACUGACGCUGAGAUACGAAAGCGUGGGGAGCAAACAUGAUUAGAUACCCUGGUAGUCACGCCGUAAACGAUGGGAUGCUAGCCGUCGGAAGUUUACUUGUCGGUGGCGCAGCUUACGCAUAAGCCUCCCGCCUUGGGAGUACGAUCGCA
rnacentral:rRNA from 1 species